rnacentral:rRNA from 1 species
GACGAACGCUGGCGGCGUGCUUAACACAUGCAAGUCGAACGGAAAGGCCUCUUUCGGUUGGUCUUCCGGUUGCCAACUGGUGGGUAACACGUGAGUAACCUGCCCUUUACUUUUUGGUAACUGCUGGAGACGGGGGCUAAUACCUGAUACCAGCUCCGACUUCCUGGUGGAAGUUGGGAAUCUUCGGCCGUUGGGGAUUUACUGGCGGCGUAUCAGCUUUUUGGUGGGGUAGUGGCUUACCAAGGCUUUGGCGAGUAGCCGUCCUUAGAGGGUGACAGGCGACAUUGGGACUGAGAUACGGCAGAGACUGGUAAGGGUGGACGCAGGGGGGAAUAUUGAACCAUGCGUGGAGGCCUGAUGCAGAAAGGCCGCGGGCGGGAGGACGGUCUUCGGGUUGUAAAAAGCCUUCGGUCAUGACGCAGCUUUGUGUGACGGUAGUGGGUAAAGAAGCACCGGCUAACUACGUG